CUGGCAGUACCUCUCCGCAAGGGUAAGGCAUUGCUGCUGCACUCUCCACCCUGCAAGAAGCAAAAUCAAAGUGCAACAGUUUCCCGAUACGGAUUCAGCACGAGACAAUCUGAUUGUCCCAUUCAUCGGAUCGGGAAAAAGGAAGCGGACAAGGGACGCCGCCCUCUUCGGUAGAAGACCUGGAGCAAUCAGAUCAUCCCGGCAUAAUUAAGAUGCACAUCCAUACCCAGAGGCAAUCUUCAGAGGCAGGGAAAUUGCUUACUAUCAUUGGCAUUAGCCAAACGCAAGAGCGUCAUUAUCUGCGCUGCACUACUACUUGGGAUUGGGAGUGCAGCAGCUGGUUCUGGCUGUUGGAAGGCCGGGGUUUCUGCAGCUUGAGCCUCUUUUGCAGUCAGAUACAGAAUCUUCUCAGCCUGCAGAGCCAGCGUAGAUUAUCGUCAAUGGCGCGGUGGAAUGAUCUGUAUUGCUGCUGGGCGCCGCCGCGGAACCCUCAAAGAUCGGCCAUGCGGCGACCGGCGGUGGCCUGCCAAACCCGUUCGCGGCGGGAGCGCUGACGC